rnacentral:rRNA from 1 species
CGCGUAGCCGGUCUUUUAAGUCAGAUGUGAAAGCCCGGGGCUCAACCCCGGAAGUGCAUUUGAAACUAAAGGACUUGAGUAUGGGAGAGGGAAGUGGAAUUCCUGGUGUAGAGGUGAAAUUCGUAGAUAUCAGGAGGAACACCGGUGGCGAAGGCGACUUCCUGGACCAAUACUGACGCUGAGGCGCGAAGGCGUGGGGAGCAAACAGGAUUAGAUACCCUGGUAGUCC